UACGGAGGGGGCCAGCGUUGUUCGGAAUCAUUGGGCGUAAAGCGCGCGCAGGUGGUUCCUUAAGUCUGAUGUGAAAGCCCACGGCUCAACCGUGGAGGGUCAUUGGAAACUGGGGGACUUGAGUGCAGAAGAGGAAAGUGGAAUUCCAAGUGUAGCGGUGAAAUGCGUAGAGAUUUGGAGGAACACCAGUGGCGAAGGCGACUUUCUGGUCUGUAACUGACACUGAGGCGCGAAAGCGUGGGGAGCAAACAGG
rnacentral:rRNA from 1 species